UUACUCCCUUUGUCCCAAAAUAUAGCAACCUAGUACUGGAUUAGUCACCACCUAGUAUUAUGAAUCUGGACAGAGAGGGGUUGGACAGAGGGCUCUGUCCAUAUUCGUAGUGCUAGGUGGUGUCUAAUCCAAUACUAGGCUGCUAUAUUUUUGGAUGGAGGGAGUAG
rnacentral:pre_miRNA from 1 species